rnacentral:tRNA from 1 species
CGGUCUGUAGCUCAGUUGGUAGAGCAGCUGACUCUUAAUCAGCGGGUCAAGGGUUCGAGUCCCUUCAGACCGA